rnacentral:lncRNA from 1 species
GAUCGCUCUCUUUCCCCCUACCCAAGUGGGCGCACAACUUUUCGCUCCUCGCUCCCGAGCAAGCCCCGCGCGUCUCUGCCGCCAGAGCCACGAGGUGAAGAUGCGCCCUUCCGCGCGGUGCGCGCAGCCCGCUGAGGACCGAGCUCCUGGAUAAGUGGGCUGGCAGAUAAUAACAGCAUGCGGAUGAGGUACCUGCGAGCUUUCUCUCUAGAGGUCUCACCUGAGCUCUGGGGCUGGCGUUAUGUUGAAAAGCGUCUCAGUGACCCGCAGCUAUUUUCCGUAGGAGGAAGAGGACGCGACAGGGCAAAGGGUUGAGCGUGGGCAGCUUACCUCCUCUUUAUUCCAAGGGCCUCUUGCGUACAGAAUAGGGUGAUUGUGAGACCCCUGCCUGCAACUCAGACGCUAUGUAGAGGCUGUGUGUCGCGGUUCUGUGAUGGAGCGCAUUCCUGAUGUCCCCGUGCUCCUUUGGGAAAAUGGGAUGAGGGACAGCAGAGUGGCAGC